CAAUAGCGUAUAUUAAAGUUGUUGCAGUUAGAACGCUCGUAGUCGGAUUUCGGGGCGGGCCGACCGGUCUGCCGAUGGGUACGCACUGGUCGGCGCGUCCUUCCUUCCGGAGACCGUGCCUACUCUUAACUGAGCGGGGGCGGGGGACGGAUCGUUUACUUUGAAAAAAUCAGAGUGUUUCAAGCAGGCAGCUCGCUCUUGCAUGGAUUAGCAUGGGAUAAUGAAAUAGGACUUUGGUGCUAUUUUGUUGGUUUCGAACACCGAAGUAAUGAUUAACAGGGACAGUCAGGGGCACUCGUAUUCCGCCGAGAGAGGUGAAAUUCUCAGACCAGCGGAAGACGAACUACUGCGAAAGCAUUUGCCAGGGAUGUUUUCACUGA
rnacentral:rRNA from 1 species